rnacentral:piRNA from 1 species
UGGCUCCAGCAACAGAUUAACCCA